rnacentral:rRNA from 1 species
AUGGCCAUGGCGUCCGCCGACGAAAAUGGGGCCGGCAACCACAACAAAAACACAGACUCCCUCAAGGCUUCCACGGAGUUCCAGCUGAAGAAGUACCUGCUGCUGCUUGCCACCCUGGUGGCGACGGUGACCUACGUGGCGGGGCUCAACCUGCCGGGGGGUUCCUGGACGGAGGACACUCCCGGCGGGCAGGUGGCCGGCGAGCCAAUCCUCCGGGAGACCUACUACUACCGCUACAUCGUCUUCUACUACUGCAACGCCAUCUCCUUUGCGGCGUCGCUCGUCGUCAGCCUCCUCCUCCUCGUGCUGCAUAAGGGCGGCAACUACCACCACUUGCUCCGGCCGAUCAUGGUGAUUGACCUGUUCGGCCUUAUGGGGGCCUACGCUGCCGGGAGCAGCCGCGACAAGUUCACCACCGUCUGCGCCGCAGUGAUGGUGGCUGGCCUCGCUGCUUAUGUCACUGUCGCCUUCCUCUGGUACGUACUCCGCCGCGCGACAGGAGGCACGGCCGCCAACAAAAAAGAAGAGAGUCCAGAUCAAGAGGCGGCGGCACUCGCGGAGCACGAGAUCCUGAUGGUGCUCGCCAUCUUCGUGGCAACCGUCGCGUACGUGGCCGCAAUGAACCCGCCUGGAGGCUUCUGGCGAAGCACCCAGGAGGGCCACCACACUGGCGGUGACCCGAUUCUGCAGGGCGGCCACUCCGGCCGCUACAAGUUCUUCUUCUUCUUUAACACCACCGCCUUCGUCACGUCCCUGCUCGCCAUCAUGCUCAUCCUCGACUAUAAGAAACUCAACAUCAGCAGUGACAGAUUUGGCGUAGGGCGUUGCGGUCUCUAUGUAUCCCUCGUCAUCGCGGUCGGCGGCCUCGGCGGCGCCUACGCUGCCGGGAGCUGCAGGAACCUUGAGAGCACUGCCAUUGUUCUGUCCCUAGGGCCAGCUGUUCUAAUCUACAUUGCUCUCCAGGCAAUCGCGGGCGUUUCUACAGACAAACUCCCGUGUAUUGGUCGCAUGUGCAGUUAUCCAAGAAAAUGGCUGACGGUAAUAACAAGAUUCGUCACUGAUUCCACUUGCACUUCCAGACCACCACCACCACUGACCGACGAAAAAGAAAAAGACAAGAUUCUGAAGAGACAACGUGAUGAAAAUGAAAAACUCAACAAGGCCCGCGAGUUUAUUCAGUUGCUCGCUAUACUUGCGGCGACCAUCACUUAUCAAGCUGGACUUGAUCCACCAGGAGGCCUCUGGCUGGAGAGUGGGGAAGGCCAUACUGUUGGAGACUCAAUACUCCUCACAACACACCCAAUACGGUACAAGGCCUUCUUCUACUCUAAUUCGGUGGCCUUCGUGGCGUCCUUGGUCAUCAUCGUCAUGCUGCAGAGCGAGAGGCUAGUUAGGCUCCACAUACUGGAGGCUACUAUGAUACUAGACCUGUUCAGCCUCAUGGGUGCUUACGCCGCGGGGAGCAGCCGGGACACGAGCACCUCCAUCUACAUUGUGGCCAUGGCUGGCGCCGUCCUGAUCUACGUGGUGAUCCACAUAGUCUUCUUCACGCUCGACCCUGAAGACAUGGACACGGAUGUGCUGGACAAGUGUCGCGAGGUGCUGCUACUCCUCGCGAUCUUGGCCGCCAGCAUCACCUACCAAGCCGGGCUGACCCCGCCGGGCGGCUUCUGGGAGGUGGACGACGAGAAGCACGGGCACCACGCCGGCUUCUCCAUCCUCCAGGACAAGUACCAUCUCCGUUACAAGGCCUUCUUUUACUGCAACGCGGCGAGCUUCAUGGCGUCUGUGGCUCUCAUCAUCCUCCUCGUUAAUCCCACCCUGUACAAGCCGGCCAUAGAGUGCUAUGCCCUCUUUGUGUGCAUGGUGGGGGGCAUGUUUGGCCUCAUGGGUGCCUACGCUGCCGGGAGCUCCCUGCACCUCCGAGCCUCCAUCAUCAUCUUGGUAUUGGUUGCUCUGGUGUUUGGUUUUGUAGUGUAUCUGGUACUGACAGGCUCCCACAAGCUGAAGCGAAAGGAACCUGCUGGACAAGGAGAGCCGCAGGGAGGUCAUGUGACCGACGAUGCGGCCAAGGACCAAAAUCAACCUGGACAAGGAGUGCAAGGACAUCAUGUGGCCGACAAUGCGGCCAAGGACCAAAUACAACCUGCACAAGGAGUGCAGGGAGAUCAUGUGGCCGACCAUGCGGCCAAGCACCAAAAGCAACCUGCAGAAGGAAAUAAUGUGGCUGACAACAACAAGGCCAUAUACCUGAUGCUGCUAGGGAUACUGUCUGCCAGCGUGACCUACCUGACCGGCCUGAAACCGCCCGGCGGCCUGUGGAGGGACGACAACAAUGGGCAUUCCGCUGGCAGCCCGGUCCUGUACGACAUGGACAGGCGGCGGUACAUGGUCUACUUCUACAGCAACUCCAUCUCGUUCAUGGCUUCCAUCAUCGUCAUCGCCUUGCUGCUGCUCCUGCCGCUUCUGGGUUACAAGAGCGAUCAUUGCUCGUUGCACACGGUGAUGGUACUGGACAUGCUCGCCCUCCUGGUAGCCUACGCCGCAGGCAGUGCCCGGAAGUGGGGCACAUUUUGGAAGGUCAUCCUGCUGCUCCUCCCCACAGUGAUCUUCCUACGGCUUCUAUUCUGGUGCAAGAAUAAAUACCGUAGCACCGCAAAACCAAAACCAGGAGUCAUUGCUGCUCCAAAUCAAGAAGCCACUGCAACUCAGUAA